GCCGCGCGGGCGCGGGGCCGCGGGCGGGCCGGGGGCUGGCGCGGCCCGGCGGGGAGCGGGCCGGGAGCCGGGGCCGGGCGAGCCGCGGCCCCUCGGCUGUGCUGGAGCCUCGGCUCCGCCUCCCGCCCGCUCAGCGCCUCCUAAAAUGGCGCCGCGGCCGCGAUGGAUCCUCGGGAGAGACCCCCGAGAGACCCCCCCCGGUUAAAAUGGUAAAUCAAACCCCCAAAGCCUGAGUUAUUGUAAUGAAAUGAAAAGCUUAUGGAGAAUUAAGCUGGCUAAUGCUUCUGAAUGUAAGAGAGUAUUAGAAGAGGCUAAAGCUGUUAGAACACCUUCAAAACAUCCGGUGAGUGUCACUGCUUAAAAAUUAACUCGAGUCAGGCUGUCUUAAAAUACAUCUGCACUUUAAGCAUCGACCACAAGCCAGGAAUGACCUAUCUUUAGUACUGGGCACAGUGCAAGUGGAAACUGUCAUAUGAGACUGACUUCUGAUGUAAAUACGUCUGCAGAGUGACAUCUGAAGCUUUGUGCUGUGCAGGGUGCUUAGCCAUGCUGGAUUUCUGCAUUUCUUUGCAGUGAAACAUAGAAUUUAAUGAAUUUCCAUCAUUAAAUUUGGGUGUUGCUUCUGUUUGAAGUGGUGACCACGGUGGUCAGCCAGGAUGAUGUGUGGGACAGUGACACCACUUUUGGGUGGGAGUGUCAGCCACUUUAUUGUAGACAACUUGGGUCAUAGAAUAGAAUAUAAUUUUUAUAUAUUUUCUUGUAAUUGAGUUAAUGAGGUAAAAAAGGAUUCUUUUUGAAUGGAAGCAUUGACUCUUGAAAAACAGGGAAAUCUUAGUAGAUGGUAACUAGUAAACUUGUUACUAUUUAUAUUUCUAAUGGCUUCUUGAUUUAGCAAAUCAUUGUGGCAUGUGUCUGGUGACUGUUCUGAGAACAAACUGUAACCACUGUCUUGCAUUAUUUCAGAAUUACCUUUCUGGUGCUAUAUUUAGCCUAUGCUUCUUCAUACAAAUUACAUUUGUAUACAACUUUUAUAUACACAGGGUUUUUUGGGAAAAAAUGGUGAUGACAAACAUCUUAGCCAGCUUUGGUUUAUGAAGACACAACUUGAUGUUAUUGGUCUGUGUUUAAUCAUAAAACUUGAGAGCAAUGGCCUGCUCUGUAAUUGCUGGUACGUGUGGAUGUUUGUUCUCAUUCUGCUUCAUGCAGGACCCCCUGCCUUUGCAGGUGGGUUGUAGAUGUUUGUACAGGUGAGUGCCAAGGUAUUGGUAGUAUUUUGGCUGAAUUUAGGCUUUUGGAAGUAAGAUGUUGGCAGGAUUUUUAGAUUCAAUUUUUCAAAAUACUUAAACUUUUAAAAUUCCAGUAGUGAUGUUCAUUGUUCUAUGCUUCACAGAAC